rnacentral:tRNA from 1 species
GGGGUUGUGGCUCAGUGGUAGAGCACUUGCCUAGCAUGUGUGAGGCUGUGAGUUCAAUUCUCAGCACCA